GCCAGCAGCUACUGUAUAUCACCCUGCAGCUUUCAACUGGCUACCCAUUGAAGCUAAGCAGGGUUGAGCCUGGUCAGUACCUGGAUGAGAGACCUCCUGGGAAGCUGUGGUUGCUGCUGGAA
rfam:Lepisosteus oculatus linkage group LG4, whole genome shotgun sequence.